GGGUUCGUAGCUCAACUGGAUAGAGCGAACGGCUUCGAACCGUUAGGUUAGGGGUUCAACUCCCCUCGAACCCU
rfam:Elusimicrobia bacterium RIFOXYC2_FTLL_34_12 rifoxyc2_full_scaffold_768, whole genome shotgun sequence.